rnacentral:rRNA from 1 species
UCGCUACUACCGAUUGAACAUUUUAGUGAGUUGCGAGGAGUGGGGAUAGUCAGGCAACUGGCUAUACCUGCGAGAAGCUACAAACUUGGAUGUUUAGAGGAAGUAA